rnacentral:tRNA from 1 species
CUCCGCUUGGUGUAGUUGGUUUAUCACGUUCGACUGUAAUAUUGCUUUGUAAUCGAAAGGUCCCUUGUUCGAUUCAGGGAGCGGAGA